rnacentral:rRNA from 1 species
CGUCAAAUCAUCAUGCCCCUUAUGUUCUGGGCUACACACGUGCUACAAUGGGCGGUACAGACGGAAGCGAAGCCGUGAGGCGGAGCAAAUCCGAGAAAGCCGUUCUCAGUUCGGAUUGCAGGCUGCAACUCGCCUGCAUGAAGUUGGAAUCGCUAGUAAUCGCGAAUCAGCAUGUCGCGGUGAAUACGUUCCCGGGCCUU